UCCGUAGGGGGCGAGCGUUGUCCGGAGUUAUUGGGCGUAAAGCGCGCGCAGGCGGUGCGGUAAGUCUCUGGUGAAAGCGCUCGGCUUAACUGGGCGAGGGCCGGGGAGACUGCCACGCUGGAGGGGAGCAGAGGCGAGUGGAAUUCCGGGUGUAGUGGUGAAAUGCGUAGAGAUCCGGAGGAACACCAGUGGCGAAGGCGGCUCGCUGGGCCGCAACUGACGCUGAGGAACGAAAGCUGGGGGAGCGAACAGG
rnacentral:rRNA from 1 species